rnacentral:rRNA from 1 species
GACGAACGCUGGCGGUGUGCUUAAUACAUGCAAGUCGAACGAUGAGGCCCUUCGGGGUACAUCAGUGGCGGACGGCUGAGUAACGCGUAGGUAACGUGCCUCUUACUGGGGGAUAACAUCGGGAAACCGGUGCUAAUACCGCAUAAGUAGCCAUUUGAGAUAGUGGUUAUUAAAGAAUUUCGGUAAGAGAUCGGCCUGCGUCUGAUUAGCUAGUUGGUAGGGUAAGAGCCUACCAAGGCGAUGAUCAGUAGUUGGUCUGAGAGGAUGACCAGCCAGAGUGGGACUGAGACACGGCCCACACUUCUACGGAAGGCAGCAGUAGGGAAUUUUGCGCAAUGGGCGAAAGCCUGACGCAGCAACACCGCGUGUAGGAUGAAGGAUUUCGGUUCGUAAACUACUGUCGGCAGGGAAUAUAAUGACUGUACCUGCAAAGGAAGCAUCGGCUAACUACGUGCCAGCAGCCGCGGUAAGACGUAGGAUGCAAGCGUUGUCCGGAAUUAUUGGGCGUAAAGAGUUCGUAGGCGGUUACAUAAGUCUGGUGUUAAAUACUGGAGCUCAACUCCAGCAUGGCAUUGGAAACUGUGUGACUAGAGUGCGGUAGAGGUCACGGGAAUUCCUGGUGUAGCGGUGAAAUGCGUAGAUAUCAGGAGGAACACCGGUGGCGAAAGCGCGUGACUGGGCCGUAACUGACGCUGAGGAACGAAAGCCAGGGUAGCAAAAAGGAUUAGAUACCCUUGUAGUCCUGGCCGUAAACGAUGGAUACUAGGUGUAGGUGGAUUCGACCCCAUCUGUGCCGUAGCUAACGCGAUAAGUAUCCCGCCUGGGGAGUACGCUCGCAAGAGUGAAACUCAAGGAAUUGACGGGGGCCCGCACAAGCGGUGGAACAUGUGGUUUAAUUCGAUGCAACGCGAAGAACCUUACCUGGGCUUG